AAUGAAGUGCCUGACUAAAAAGGAUUGUCUUGAUAGGACAAAUUAUGUAAAUAAUACCUUCAUUA
rnacentral:tRNA from 1 species